rnacentral:rRNA from 1 species
GAUGAAUGCUGGCGGCGUGCCUAAUACAUGCAAGUCGAGCGAACAGACGAGGAGCUUGCUCCUCUGACGUUAGCGGCGGACGGGUGAGUAACACGUGGAUAACCUACCUAUAAGACUGGGAUAACUUCGGGAAACCGGAGCUAAUACCGGAUAAUAUAUUGAACCGCAUGGUUCAAUAGUGAAAGACGGUUUUGCUGUCACUUAUAGAUGGAUCCGCGCCGCAUUAGCUAGUUGGUAAGGUAACGGCUUACCAAGGCGACGAUGCGUAGCCGACCUGAGAGGGUGAUCGGCCACACUGGAACUGAGACACGGUCCAGACUCCUACGGGAGGCAGCAGUAGGGAAUCUUCCGCAAUGGGCGAAAGCCUGACGGAGCAACGCCGCGUGAGUGAUGAAGGUCUUCGGAUCGUAAAACUCUGUUAUUAGGGAAGAACAAAUGUGUAAGUAACUAUGCACGUCUUGACGGUACCUAAUCAGAAAGCCACGGCUAACUACGUG